rnacentral:rRNA from 1 species
CCUACGGGUGGCAGCAGUGAGGAAUAUUGGUCAAUGGCCGCGAGGCUGAACCAGCCAAGUCGCGUGAGGGAAGACGGCCCUACGGGUUGUAAACCUCUUUUGUCGGGGAGCAAAGUGAACCACGUGUGGCUCAUUGAGAGUACCCUAAGAAAAAGCAUCGGCUAACUCCGUGCCAGCAGCCGCGGUAAUACGGAGGAUGCGAGCGUUAUCCGGAUUUAUUGGGUUUAAGGGGUGCGAAGGGGGUGGUGUAAGUCAGCGGUAAAAUUGGGGGGCUAAACCCCAUACUGCCGUUGAAACUGGAUGCCUUGAGUGCGCGAGAGGUAUGCGGAAUGCGUGGUGUAGCGGUGAAAUGCAUAGAUAUCACGCAGAACUCCGAUUGCGAAGGCAGCAUACCAACGCGCAACUGACGUUCAUGCACGAAAGCGUGGGUAUCAAACAGGAUUAGAUACCCUUGUAGUC